GUCCAUGGACAUUGAGGAAUUUAUAUUCAAAGUUUUAUUUCCUCACCUCUCAUCUAUUCGUUUCCUCUUUCUAAUUUAAGCUUUCUUCCAUAAAAACAAUAUCUAUGUUUUGAAGAAAUAUAAAGAAAACACAUUAUAGAAACUCAUUCCCCCCAGGGGCAAAAGGUUGUUGUAGAAUAGCAAUAGUCACAUAUACAAUGACAAUGAUUGUUUACCUUGCAGAAUCUCCAAAAAGAUAUUUUAAAAAUACUUGUAAACAUAUAGAGUUUGACUGUAUUUAGCUUUUGUUUGGGAGGUACUGCCUUUCUUUGUGGUCAUUAGGAUUCUGUCAUUAAGCUAAAGCCUCAUUGUUAUGGUUUGGAUGUGUGGUGAGCUUUGCAGUACUUCCCACUAGAGUAGCUAGUUUAUCUCUUGUCUGUGUGAUUUGCUAUGGCCAAUGGCAUGGUUAGCAGGUGUUGUAUGAAGAGAAGCUUUAAAUGUAUUUGUGUGGUGUGGUUUGGCUUCUUGCCCUCAGAACAAUAUCUGGAGGCUUUCCAAGGAGAAUGAGGAGACACAGAGAACAGACCUGUGGUGGUUUGCUUAGGCUGUAAUAACAAAAUACCACAGAUUGGAUAGCUUAAACAACAACAAAAUUUUGUACUUCUGGAGGCUAGAAGUCCAAGAUCAAGGUGUUUGCAGGCUUGGUUUUAAAAGUGCACAAUCCAGGGCUGGAGUUGUGGCUUGGUGGCAGGGCACUUGCCUAGCACGUGGGAGGCACUGGGUUU
rnacentral:lncRNA from 1 species